AAUCAACGCUGGCGGCGUGCCUCAGACAUGCAAGUCGAACGCGAAAGGCUCCUUCGGGGGCCGAGUAGAGUGGCGCACGGGUGAGUAACACGUAGGUAAUUUGCCUUUGGGUGGGGAAUAACUCAGGGAAACUUGAGCUAAUACCGCAUAAUGCAGCGGCUCGACAUCGAGACAGUUGUUAAAGCGGGGGAUCGCAAGACCUCGCGCCUGAAGAGAAGCCUGCGGCAGAUUAGCUAGUUGGUAGGGUAAUGGCCUACCAAGGCGACGAUCUGUAACCGGCCUGAGAGGGCGGUCGGUCACACUGACACUGACAUACGGGUCAGACUCCUACGGGAGGCAGCAGUCGGGAAUUUUGGGCAA
rnacentral:rRNA from 1 species